AUAGAUAGAUAGAUAGAUAGAUAGAUAGAUAGAUAGAUUUCAGUUAACAGUUAUUUUAUUUCAAGUAACAAAAAUGCUACAGUCUAAGGUUCACUGUAAAAACUAUUCAUUCACAGAUGGUGAACUACUAAAGACUCAUGGUUUUGCCCUACGACAGUAGAAUUCCUUUACAAUCCCAGAAUUGUUUUUCUUAGAUGGCAAAAUGCUGCAGUGUGCUCCAGUCUUUAGUCUAUGAGAUUUUUUCACAGCGUGACAGAAGAAAGUCUUACAUCCAGUAGUGCUCCUCAAUAAGUUGCAGUUAUGUCUGUAGCACAAGUGAUGCAGGACAAAGUUAUGUGCAGAAGUUAAUGCUUUUUUUCUUUAUUGGCAUCUAUGGGUUCUGUGAAGAAUCUUAAACAUCUUUAAGAACCUUUACUUUGGGAAACCAAAAAUGGUUCCUCUGUGGCAUUGCUGUGAAAUCUUCUUUAUUUUUUAGGAGAGUAUGAGUGGGAGUAAUAGUGUUGCUUGCUUUGCAAAUGCCACUAAUUCCAUCAUCACCUCACCACAGUGAGAGCAUAAGAAUGCAUGGGAGCAACAGGUAGGCUACUUGUCACCUUUUUCCCUUGUGUAAGCAACCACAGUGGUCCCAAUGUGAUCUCAUCUGAAAUAAACCUGAGGCUUGAAUUAGCCAUGAAUUAGCCAUGCGAAUGUUCUUUUCUAGAUUACCAUUUUCAUCUACUUCUUUCCAGAGCUCUUGCAUCUUCAGCUGCUGCCUGUGACUGCAUUGAGAAACCAGGAGUAUGAGAGUCUAUACAAGUUCUAUACACACUUUAAUCCCAUUCAGACACCGAUCUUCCAUACACUCUACCAUACAGACACCAACGUCCUGCUGGGGGCCCCCACAGGCUCCGGCAAAACCAUCGCUCUGCAGAAACGGCCAUCUUCAGGGUCUUCAACAAGUACCCCACCUCCAAGUUGGUCUACAUUGCUCCUCUCAAAGCUAUGGUCCGAGAGAGGAUUGAGGACUGGAAGAUCAGAAUAGAAGAGAAACUUGGGAGGAAGGUGGUUAAGUUAACAGGUGACGUUACUCCAGACAUGCGGGCCCUCGCGCAGGCUGACCUGAUCGUCACCACUCCAGAGAAAUGGGAGUCAGCUGCAGCUGGCAGAACCGCAACUAUGUGCAGAAAGUGGCUAUUCUCAUCAUAGACAAGAUCCAUCUUCUAGGGUGAGGACAGAGGGCCGGUUCCAGAGGUCAUUGUGUCCAGAACCAACUUUAUCUCAUCGCACACCUCAAAACAAGUGCAAAUAAUGGGACUCUCUAAUGCACGGGAUCUAGUCGACUGGCUGGGCAUUGGACAGGUGGGACUGUUUAAUUUCCUGUCCUCUGUUCGCCCAGUGCCAUUGGAGGUUCAUAUUCAGGGCUUUCCAGGGCAGCAUUAUUGCCCUCAUAUGGCCAGCAUGAACAAACCAGUCUUCCAAGCCAUCCGCACACAUUCUCCUGCCAAACCGGUCCUCAUAUCUGUGUCGUCGCGCCGGCAGACACGGCUCACGGCUCUGGUCCUCAAUGCGUUUCUGGCUGCGGAAGACGACCUCAAACAGUGGCUCCACCAGGAUGAGAGAGAGAGGAAUGAUAUCAUCGGCACUAUAAGAGAGUCAAACCUGAAGCUGACCUUGGCGUUUGGGAUCAGGAUGCAUCAUGCGGGACUUCACGAGUGAGACAGGAAGACAGGAUGAGCUCUUUGUCAACUGUAAGAUCCAGGUGUUAAUUGCAGCUAGCACACUAGCAUGGUGUGUCAGCUUCCCUGCUCACCUGGUGAUCGUGAAGGGCACAGAAAACCAUGACGGAAAGACUCGCCGCUACGUGGAUUACCCCAUAACAGAUGUUCUUCAGAUGAUGGGUCGAGCAGGAACCACCGCAGUUCGACGAUCAGGGCAAGGCUGUUAUCCUUGUGCACGACAUCAAGAAGGACUUCUAUAAGAAGUUCUUGUACAAGGCGUUCCCUGUGGAGGCUAGUCUUCUGUGCGUGCUCUCCGACCACUUGAAUGCAGAAAUCGCAGUAGUGCACAGUCACCUCUAAACAAGACAGCAUGGAUUACAUCAAAUGGAUGUACUUCUUCCGCAGGCUGGUCAUGAACCCCAGGAUGAGCACACCAUCGAGCCGCUGACGUACGGGUGCAUCUCAUCCUACUAUUACCUGAAACACCAGACCAUCCGCAUGUUCAAAGAGCGUCUGAAGCCAGAGCUGCCCGUCCAAGAGCUGCUGGCCAUCCUGUCGUGUACAUGACGGGACGCAAGACACAUUUCAGAAAGAAGGAAGCAGAGGAUUGCGUUGAACUCCCCGUGCACCACAAUGAGGACACAGCAUCUCCCCCUGCAGGUCAACCCUCACUCGUACGACAGCGCGCACACCAAAACACACCUGCUCAUGCGAGAAGGGUCUGGCUGUAGACUUGCACUUGCACUCUCAGACACUUGUGCUUCCACUAGCGACGUCACUUGCAGUCUUUAUUUUUUUAUAUUGUUCUAUUUAUUGAUAACUUUUUGUUUGAAUCUCUCAACAUUUUACAACAGUAGCCAGGUGGUGAAGACAAGAAAAAAGAAACUAAAUUACAAUCGCCACUUGUACUCUCCGCUACCUGUGAUGU